CAAGCACACGCAGCGUGUAUAUGUAUGUGUGUAUAUAUAUAUAUAUAUAUAUAUAUAUAUAUACACAUACACACACAUAUAUACAUAUAUAUAUAUUUACACACACACACAUACAUACACUGCUGUGUGUGUGUG